rnacentral:rRNA from 1 species
GACGAACGCUGGCGGCGUGCUUAACACAUGCAAGUCGAACGGAAAGGCCCUGCUUUUGUGGGGUGCUCGAGUGGCGAACGGGUGAGUAACACGUGAGUAACCUGCCCUUGACUUUGGGAUAACUUCAGGAAACUGGGGCUAAUACCGGAUAGGAGCUCCUGCUGCAUGGUGGGGGUUGGAAAGUUUCGGCGGUUGGGGAUGGACUCGCGGCUUAUCAGCUUGUUGGUGGGGUAGUGGCUUACCAAGGCUUUGACGGGUAGCCGGCCUGAGAGGGUGACCGGCCACAUGGGGACUGAGAUACGGCCCAGACUCCUACGGGAGGCAGCAGUGGGGAAUAUUGCACAAUGGGCGGAAGCCGGAGGCAGCAACGCCGCGUGCGGGAUGACGGCCUUCGGGUUGUAAACCGCCUUCGCCUGUGACGAAGCGUGAGUGACGGUAAUGGGUAAAGAAGCACCGGCUAACUACGUG